AGCAGGGUGGCCUAGAGGUUAAGGAAGUGGACUUUUGAGAUCCAAUGGACAAAUGUCCUCGUGGGUUCGUACCCCACUCCUGGUA
rnacentral:tRNA from 1 species